UUCCAUUUAACCUGCCUUACCACAGCUGCAUCCCCACACAGCUGUUUUCAAUUUUGACAAUUUUUGGUCUCAGUCGGCGUCUCACUGUGCGAUGUGACUGACCAAAAAUAAUUGAUGACCAACAACAACCACAUUUCUCUCAUGGUUGUCAACUUUUUCUCCGGCGGAUUAAGAUUUCACGGUACACAUGGGGACUUUCACUUUAGAAGGGCACAGGAAGUUUUUUGGCUUUAGUGAGGUGCUUUGACAGAUUUCUGUGGGUCACUGAAUGGUACCAGAACAAGAAGACCUACACUGUGAUACAGACAGAAAGCUACUGCUCAUCUCCAGUGACCCAGAAACUCAAUGGCAGCAGGAAGCACUUCGGAGACAUGAUCAGCAGGCUGCAGAGGUCUCUGUAUCACUGUUUGCUGCACGAGUGAUAGAGCUGCAGUUGACUCAAGUUAAGAGACAGCGAGAGAGCCGGGAGAGGAAAGGGGCUUUCCGUUGCCCUAGUUUCCAUGGCCAAGUGUGUGUAUGUCUGUCAUUAUGUGUGAAUGGUUAGCUCUUUGAAGAGAACUACAGCCUGAACUGGCUCACUUUCCAAAGACAAGCGGGAGAGAAAAUGUGAUUGAGAGGAGAAUAAGAUACACAAAGAGAAAAAAAAAGACUGAAAAACCCCCAAAAAAAGACGUGUGUUCUCUCACAGGUGGGCUGAAUGCACAUCAUUCUUGUGGAGAUGCAGUCCGACCACAGACUCUCUCACGUUACUUGCAGCACUUAAGUUGCAGUACAAGUCAUCAAGCAUCAAAGAGCGUUCCCAUAACCAGACUAAUGCAGUUACAGUGACUGAUGCCGGUGGGGACGACAGACUGCUGGAGACAAAAGGGUUGGGUUUAAAUCGCUGUGGUGAAUAUUAGGGGUUUUCAAUUCCAUAGAGGUUCACUAAGACCGUAGACUUCAAUUAUCAAUGUAGAAAGAUUAUGUAUCUCCAGUUGUGAUCCGAGACAAGUCUUAUACUAUGAGGUAUGAUGUCCCUUCCGUCUUAUUUAAACAAGAUGCCCAUACCAAAGACAUUGAAUUAGAAUCCUGAUAAAUGGGAAUCUAGGCAGAAUAAAGAAGUCUUUAGAUUGGUUGUACGCUACUGAAGGCCUUUGCUCCAUGUACAGCAUUCUGAGGACAGCAGGUAUCUGUCUGCUCUCCGCCUGCUCAUUCACUUGUAUGGAUAUAAGAGUGCUGAAGGAUACUUAAGGAUACUUCAGGACCCACAACAGAAACAGAAACGUGUUUCUUUUAUUACAGCCCAACAAGCCAUUGUUGCACUAGA
ensembl:lncRNA